rnacentral:rRNA from 1 species
CCUACGGGGGGCAGCAGUGGGGGAUAUUGCACAAUGGGGGGAACCCUGAUGCAGCGACGCCGCGUGGGUGAAGGAGUGCUUCGGUAUGUAAAGCCCUAUCGGCAGGGAAGAAGCAAGACGGUACCUGACUAAGAAGCCCCGGCUAACUACGUGCCAGCAGCCGCGGUAAUACGUAGGGGGCGCGCGUUAUCCGGAUUCACUGGGUGUAAAGGGAGCGUAGACGGCCAAGCAAGCCAGGGGUGAAAGCCCGGGGCCCAACCCCGGGACUGCCCUUGGAACUGCAUGGCUGGAGUGCGGGAGGGGCAGGCGGAAUUCCUGGUGUAGCGGUGAAAUGCGUAGAUAUCAGGAGGAACACCGGCGGCGAAGGCGGCCUGCUGGACCGCGACUGACGUUGAGGCUCGAAAGCGUGGGGAGCGAACAGGAUUAGAUACCCUAGUAGUC